rnacentral:rRNA from 1 species
GGUUUAAUUCGAUGCAACGCGAAAAACCUUACCACUUCUUGACAUGGAGGCUAGAUCCUUCUUAACGGAAGGGCGCAGUUCGGCUGGGCCUCGCACAGGUGCUGCAUGGCUGUCGUCAGCUCGUGUCGUGAGAUGUUGGGUUAAGUCCCGCAACGAGCGUAACCCUCAUCCUUAGUUACCAGCGGGUAAUGCCGGGCACUUUAAGGAAACUGCCAGUGAUAAACUGGAGGAAGGUGGGGAUGAUGUCAAGUCAGCACGGCCCUUAUGGGGUGGGCUACACACGUGCUACAAUGGCGACUACAAUAGGUUGCAACGUCGCAAGGCUGAGC